rnacentral:rRNA from 1 species
GACGAACGCUGGCGGCGUGCCUAAUACAUGCAAGUCGAGCGGACUUUCGAGAAGCUUGCUUUUUGAAUGUUAGCGGCGGACGGGUGAGUAACACGUGGGCAACCUGCCUGCAAGACGGGGAUAACUCCGGGAAACCGGAGCUAAUACCGGAUAAUAUCUUCCUUCGCAUGGAGGAAGGGUGAAAGGCGGCGCAAGCUUCCGCUUGCGGAUGAUCCGGGGUCGGAUUAGGUAGUUGGGGAGGUAACGGCUCACCAAGGCGACGAUGCCUAGCCGACCUGAGGGGGUGAGCCGGCAAACUUGGAACUGAACACGGCCCAAACUCCUACGGGGAGCAGGAGUAGGGAAACUUCCGGAAAUGGCGAAAGGCUGACGGAGCAACGCCGCGUGAGGGGAGAAGGUUCUCCGGUCGUAAAGCCCUUGUGUCAGGGAAGAACAAGAACCGUACGAAAAGGGCGGUAUCUUGACGGUACCUGAUCAGAAAGCCACGGCUAACUACGUG